rnacentral:lncRNA from 1 species
GACAGUUAGGCAUCUUGGAUUUGGGUUCUGUCUUCUAGGAGAGCUGGCAGAACCCAUUGUGUAUUUACACUGCAGCUGCCUCACUCUGCUAGGUCCCAGGCCCUGCAGCUGCAGCAGUUCUGGAAGAUGCAAGACCGGCAGAAGAGUGAGGAUGAUGCCUGCAGUGUCUCAGAAGGCUGGAGUCCCUGAAGGAUGAGAGCGCAGAGGAGAUGGAGAGGGGCCUGGCCAGUCCCCAAACAGGACCUUCGAGUGAUAUGCCGUGUUCUUAAAAAAAAAAAAUCCAAGGAUUCCAAAGAAAUUAACUGAGAUGCAGAGGAGGCCAGGAAGGCCAGGUUAAACAUUGAAUAAGUUUCACUUAGCAAACACCUUCACUGCUCUUCCACGGUGAGAAAAAUGGUGCACCAACCCCACGGAUGACAGCUCUAGGCUGCUUAAAUCCCUCUUGGAUCGCGCCUCGCAAGCCCAGCCGCCGCCGCAACAAGCUCGGGAAAACUGCAUUGUUAAUAAACCUUUUGGUUCUGAGGACACCAAGAGCAUCUUAUGGCAAAAGGCCUCUAGACUGACAAAUCUCCGUUGCCAGGAGGGAGCUACUCCUAGCUACCAAGUCGGAGAGUCCAGCUUGGAAGAACUUGAGGAUACUUCAAACCAAAACCAGGAGAAACUCCGCUCCACCAGUCUGACGCUGGAAAAGACUUGUGCUCGGUGAG